UAUCCAGCAGUACAUGACCAUGACCAACAAACAUAUAUCCAGUAAUACAUAUGUCCAGCCGUACAUGAGUGCAAAGUCCACAUAUGCAUACGUAUGCAACAAAGGUUCCAAACGAAAGGACCGUAAGUUUCAGCUCCACACAGUGCAUACAUAUCCAACGAAGGUUCACAACAACAUACAUACAUAUGCAACCAGAGGUUCACAAAUUAAAGGAUCAUGAGUUCCAAGUUCACACCAAGCAUGAACCAUGCAAUGAGCUCCACUGCAGCAUAUAUGCCCACCGUCAACGCCAUCCACAAUGCAAACCUAUAAGUCCAUUAUCACACGCAUGAGUUUCUAAAGUUAAGUUGCAAAGAUGGAUAAGGCAAAAGAGUCAACAAGCAUCAACAUAUGAGGCUCAAAUAGAAGCUAGGAAGUAUGUACAAUAUAAGCAUCAACACUUGUGGACUCUACCAUCAACAAUGCACAAGUUUUAAGUUGAGAAGCACAAGCAACGAGAAUACACAAGCAUCAACAAUGGACAAACAUGGACGACUACCUCAAGUGACCAUUGUUGCGGGGAGGUCGAAGCGACAUGAACCGUAGUGGGUGUCACUGGACUUGCUUGGCCAGGUGAAGAUCCACCUACCACACAAUUAUUCGAGCCUUGUCCCGACUGAGAAAACUUGAAGCACGAGAGGAUGAGAUGGUAAGAUUCAUGAUCUUCAAGCAUGAAGGGUAAGAUGCAUGAUUGAAAAGUU
rnacentral:lncRNA from 1 species